UAAAUCUGUGCCAGAGGGCCCCAUCCCGGAUGAGGGGUUUCCCCCGAGCAGGAAGUAAAUCUGGAUACCAGCAGUCAAGGCAAUCCACUCGGAGUAUGCCAAGCCGCCGUCACCAACCGGCCGACGCGCCGAGUUUCCUGCUCUCGUGAGCCCCGUGGAUGUAUUACAGGACCUGGUGGUGAAGCCCUGAACUUUUCUAUUUAAAGGUGCCAUCCAGGUGGCCUUUGGCAACUGCCAAGGAGUCGGGGUGAGUCGGGGAAGUAGGGAGGAGGAGCGAGGGUCCACUCAGGUUUCAGCCAUGAGAAAUCACCUCAUCUCCUCUUUACCCAGGCACCCCCUGUGACGAAGUCCUUGGUCUCGAAGCGUGUGAGCCCAGCAGCUGAGCAUUCCUAGG